rnacentral:rRNA from 1 species
AUUGAACGCUGGCGGCAGGCCUAACACAUGCAAGUCGAGCGGUAACAGGAAAGAAGCUUGCUUCUUUUGCUGACGAGCGGCGGACGGGUGAGUAAUGCCUGGGAACAUGCCUUAGUGUGGGGGAUAACCAUUGGAAACGAUGGCUAAUACCGCAUAACGUCUACGGACCAAAGAGGGGGAUCUUCGGACCUCUCGCGCUAAGAUUGGCCCAGGUGGGAUUAGCUAGUAGGUGGGGUAAAGGCUCACCUAGGCGACGAUCCCUAGCUGGUCUGAGAGGAUGAUCAGCCACACUGGAACUGAGACACGGUCCAGACUCCUACGGGAGGCAGCAGUGGGGAAUAUUGCACAAUGGGGGAAACCCUGAUGCAGCCAUGCCGCGUGUGUGAAGAAGGCCUUCGGGUUGUAAGCACUUUCAGCGAGGAGGAAGGUUAGUUAAUACCUAGCUGUGACGUUACUCGCAGAAG